UUUAAAUGUAAAUAUUAAUAACCAGGGUAGUAAUUGUUAUGCUCUUCAAACCCAAAGAAUUUGGCGGUGCUUUAGUCCCUUCAGAGGAAUCUGUCCCGUAAUCGACAUUUCACGAUAUAAGAUACUUAUUUUUGUUUUCAGUUUGUAUACCUCCGUCGUAAGAGAAUCUUUUUAGAGUUUAAUUUUCUUAAUAUAUAAAAUAUAUUAUGUCAGGUCAAGGUGCAAUUUAUAAAUAAGUGGAGAUGGAUUACAAUAAGUUUAUUUAUACGGAGUAAAUUAUUUAAUUUUUUAUGAAGGUGGAUUUGAUUGUAAUUUUAACAGUUUGUUAUUAUGAUUAUUGGCUCUAAAGUAUGC
rnacentral:rRNA from 1 species